rnacentral:rRNA from 1 species
GAGUUUGAUCCUGGCUCAGGACGAACGCUGGCGGCGCGCCUAACACAUACAAGUCGAACGAGCGAGAGAGAGCUUGCUUUCUCAAGUGGCGAACGGGUGAGUAACGCGUGAGGAACCUGCCUCAAAGAGGGGGACAACAGUUGGAAACGACUGCUAAUACCGCAUAAGCCCACGGUGCCGCAUGGCACAGAGGGAAAAGGAGCAAUCCGCUUUGAGAUGGCCUCGCGUCCGAUUAGCUAGUUGGUGAGGUAAUGGCCCACCAAGGCGACGAUCGGUAGCCGGACUGAGAGGUUGAACGGCCACAUUGGGACUGAGACACGGCCCAGACUCCUACGGGAGGCAGCAGUGGGGAAUAUUGCACAAUGGGGGAAACCCUGAUGCAGCGACGCCGCGUGGAGGAAGAAGGUCUUCGGAUUGUAAACUCCUGUUGUUGAGGAAGAUAAUGACGGUACUCAACAAGGAAGUGACGGCUAACUACGUGCCAGCAGCCGCGGUAAAACGUAGGUCACAAGCGUUGUCCGGAAUUACUGGGUGUAAAGGGAGCGCAGGCGGGAAGACAAGUUGGAAGUGAAAUCUAUGGGCUCAACCCAUAAACUGCUUUCAAAACUGUUUUUCUUGAGUAGUGCAGAGGUAGGCGGAAUUCCCGGUGUAGCGGUGGAAUGCGUAGAUAUCGGGAGGAACACCAGUGGCGAAGGCGGCCUACUGGGCACCAACUGACGCUGAGGCUCGAAAGUGUGGGUAGCAACAGGAUUAGAUACCCUGGUAGUCCACACCGUAAACGAUGAUUACUAGGUGUUGGAGGAUUGACCCCUUCAGUGCCGCAGUUAACACAAUAAGUAAUCCACCUGGGGAGUACGACCGCAAGGUUGAAACUCAAAGGAAUUGACGGGGGCCCGCACAAGCAGUGGAGUAUGUGGUUUAAUUCGACGCAACGCGAAGAACCUUACCAAGUCUUGACAUCCCUUGACGAUGCUGGAAACAGUAUUUCUCUUCGGAGCAAGGAGACAGGUGGUGCAUGGUUGUCGUCAGCUCGUGUCGUGAGAUGUUGGGUUAAGUCCCGCAACGAGCGCAACCCUUAUGGUCAGUUACUACGCAAGAGGACUCUGGCCAGACUGCCGUUGACAAAACGGAGGAAGGUGGGGAUGACGUCAAAUCAUCAUGCCCUUUAUGGCUUGGGCUACACACGUACUACAAUGGCGUUAAACAAAGAGAAGCAAGACCGCGAGGUGGAGCAAAACUCAGAAACAACGUCCCAGUUCGGACUGCAGGCUGCAACUCGCCUGCACGAAGUCGGAAUUGCUAGUAAUCGCAGAUCAGCAUGCUGCGGUGAAUACGUUCCCGGGCCUUGUACACACCGCCCGUC